AAUCAACGCUGGCGGCGUGCCUAACACAUGCAAGUCGAACGCGAAAGUCCCGCAAGGGAUUAGUAGAGUGGCAAACGGGUGAGUAACACGUGGGUGACCUGCCUUCGAGCGGGGGAUAACGUCCCGAAAGGGACGCUAAUACCGCAUAACAUCCUGCCUCUUAAGAGGUGGAGAUCAAAGCCGGGGAUUCGCAAGAACCUGGCACUUGAAGAGGGGCCCGCGCCUGAUUAGCUAGNGGUGGGGUAAUGGCCUACCAAGGCAACGAUCAGUAUCCGGCCUGAGAGGGCGGACGGACACACUGGGACUGAGACACGGCCCAGACUCCUACGGGAGGCAGCAGUGGGGAAUUGUUCGCAAUGGGCGCAAGCCUGACGAACGCAACGCCGCGUGGAGGAUGAAGACCU
rnacentral:rRNA from 1 species